rnacentral:rRNA from 1 species
CAGUCGCCACGGUAAUACGUAGGGCGCAAGCGUUAUCCGGAAUUAUUGGGCGUAAAGAGCUCGUAGGCGGUUUGUCGCGUCUGCCGUGAAAGUCCGGGGCUCAACCCCGGAUCUGCGGUGGGUACGGGCAGACUAGAGUGAUGUAGGGGAGACUGGAAUUCCUGGUGUAGCGGUGAAAUGCGCAGAUAUCAGGAGGAACACCGAUGGCGAAGGCAGGUCUCUGGGCAUUAACUGACGCUGAGGAGCGAAAGCAUGGGGAGCGAACAGGAUUAGAUACCCCGGUAGUCCCUGUCUCUUAUAC